rfam:Felis catus isolate Cinnamon breed Abyssinian chromosome D4, whole genome shotgun sequence.
GCCUGGGUGGCUCAGUCGGUCAAGCGUCCGACUUCGGCUCGGGUCAUGAUCUCCCGGUUCGUGGGUUCGAGCCCCGCGUCGGGCU